rnacentral:tRNA from 1 species
UAAUUAGCUAAUUGGCAGAAAAAUGCAUUAGAAUUAGAAUCUAAUUAUACUUUA